rnacentral:lncRNA from 1 species
GCGCACAUAAAGUCACUUUAUGGGUAGUGUUGGUACGUUGAUAGGGAACGGCAAGCAACCUAUGCUCUAAGGCUAAAUUAGUUAGCAGUUUACCUGUAUUUUGAGACUAAAUUGAUGUUGUACGACUAAUGAAUUGGUAGGUACGUUAAUAUCUUAUAUAUAAUAUAUUGUUGGUCGCGCUAAAAAUUAUAUUUUGGGUUAAUUUCAAUUUAGUAUCCUGAACUAUUACCGUUAAGGUACGUUUGCUCAUGUACUCUCAAUUUUAACGGUUACAUACCUUAAGCUUUUCAAUUUUGUGCAAUUUGGUUCCGGC